UACGUAGGGAGCGAGCGUUGUCCGGAUUUAUUGGGCGUAAAGAGCGUGUAGGCGGCCAGGUAGGUCUGCUGUGAAAACUCGAGGCUCAACCUCGAGACGUCGGCGGAAACCAUCUGGCUAGAGUCCGGAAGAGGAGAGUGGAAUUCCUGGUGUAGCGGUGAAAUGCGCAGAUAUCAGGAAGAACACCCGUGGCGAAGGCGGCUCUCUGGGACGGUACUGACGCUGAGACGCGAAAGCGUGGGGAGCGAACAGG
rnacentral:rRNA from 1 species